rnacentral:rRNA from 1 species
UACGAAGGGGGCUAGCGUUGCUCGGAAUUACUGGGCGUAAAGGGCGCGUAGGCGGACAGUUUAGUCAGAGGUGAAAGCCCAGGGCUCAACCUUGGAAUUGCCUUUGAUACUGGCUGUCUUGAGUUCGGGAGAGGUGAGUGGAAUGCCGAGUGUAGAGGUGAAAUUCGUAGAUAUCGGGAGGAACACCAGUGGCGAAGGCGGCGACCUGGGCCAAUAUUGACGCUGAGGUGCGAAAGCGUGGGGAGCAAACAGG